rnacentral:rRNA from 1 species
UACGGAGGGUGCAAGCGUUAUCCGGAUUCACUGGGUUUAAAGGGUGCGUAGGUGGAUCUGUAAGUCAGUGGUGAAAUCUCCAAGCUUAACUUGGAACUGCCGUUGAUACUAUAGAUCUUGAAUGCUGUGGAGGUGAGCGGAAUAUGUCAUGUAGCGGUGAAAUGACUUAGAUAUGACAUAGAACACCAAAUUGCGAAAGGCAGCUCACUACCCAGAUAUUGACACUGAGGCACGAAAAGCGUGGGGAUCAAACAGG